rnacentral:rRNA from 1 species
UGAUGACGGUAUAAGAUGGACCCGCGUCUGAUUAGCUAGUAGGUGAGGUAAUGGCUCACCUAGGCGACGAUCAGUAGCCGACCUGAGAGGGUGAUCGGCCACAUUGGGACUGAGACACGGCCCAAACUCCUACGGGAGGCAGCAGUGGGGAAUAUUGCACAAUGGGGGAAACCCUGAUGCAGCGACGCCGCGUGAAGGAUGAAGGUUUUCGGAUCGUAAGAACCGCCGGGUGGUUAAUACCUGCCUGGUCUGACGGUACAAUAAGAGGAAGCCACGGCUAACUACGUGCCAGCAGCCGCGGUAAUACGUAGGUGGCAAACGUUGUCCGGAAUUACUGGGCGUAAAGGGCGCGUAGGCGGUUCUUUAAGUCAGAUGUGAAAACCCAGGGCUUAACUUUGGGAGUGCAUUUGAAACUGAGGGACUCGAGUGCAGGAGAGGUAAGUGGAAUUCCUAGUGUAGCGGUGAAAUGCGUAGAUAUUAGGAGGAACACCAGUGGCGAAGGCGACUUCCUGGCUUGUAACUGACACUGAGGCGCGAAAGCGUGGGGAUCAAACAGGAUUAGAUACCCUGGUAGUCCACGCCGUAAACGAUGAGUGCUAGGUGUCGGGGGUAUCGACCCCCUCGGUGCCACAGCUAACGCAAUAAGCACUCCGCCUGGGGAGUACGGUCGCAAGACUGAAACUCAAAGGAAUUGACGGGGGCCCGCACAAGCGGUGGAGUAUGUGGUUUAAUUCGACGCAACGCGAAGAACCUUACCAAGGCUUGACAUCCCGUGACAGCCAUGGAAACAUGCAUUCCCUUCGGGGCAAGGAGACAGGUGGUGCAUGGUUGUCGUCAGCUCGUGUCGUGAGAUGUUGGGUUAAGUCCCGCAACGAGCGCAACCCUUGUCUUUAGUUACCAUCAUUCAGUUGGGGACUCUAGAGAGACUGCCGGUGAUAAACCGGAGGAAGGUGGGGAUGACGUCAAAUCAUCAUGCCCCUUAUGACUUGGGCUACACACGUACUACAAUGGCGUAUACAGAGAGACGCGAAGUGGCGACAUGGAGCAAACCUCACAAAGUACGUCUCAGUUCAGAUUGAAGUCUGCAACUCGACUUCAUGAAGGCGGAAUCGCUAGUAAUCGAGGAUCA